rnacentral:rRNA from 1 species
CCAGCCGCCGCGGUAAUACGGAGGAUGCAAGCGUUAUCCGGAAUGAUUGGGCGUAAAGCGUCCGCAGGUGGUUUAUCAAGUUUGCGGUUAAAGGUUCUGGCUCAACCAGAGACAGGCCGUGAAAACUGAUAGACUAGAGUGUGGUAGGGGCAGAGGGAAUUCCCAGUGUAGCGGUGAAAUGCGUAGAGAUUGGGAAGAACACCGGUGGCGAAAGCGCCCUGCUAGGCCAAAACUGACACUGAGGGACGAAAGCUAGGGGAGCGAAUGGGAUUAGAUACCCCAGUAGUCCUAGCCGUAAACGAUGGAUACUAGGUGUAGCUUGUAUCGACCCAAGCUGUGCCGUAGCUAACGCGUUAAGUACCCCGCCUGGGGAGUACGCGCGCAAGCGUGAAACUCAAAGGAAUUGACGGGGGCCCGCACAAGCGGUGGAGUAUGUGGUUUAAUUCGAUGCAACGCGAAGAACCUUACCAGGACUUGACAUGUCGCGAAUCUUACUGAAAGGUAGGAGUGCCUUAGGGAGCGCGAACACAGGUGGUGCAUGGCUGUCGUCAGCUCGUGUCGUGGGAUGUUGGGUUAAGUCCCGCAACGAGCGCAACCCUCGUUUUUAGUUGCCAUCAUUAAGUUGGGCACUCUAGAGAGACUGCCGGUGACAAACCGGAGGAAGGUGGGGAUGACGUCAAGUCAGCAUGCCCCUUACGUUCUGGGCUACACACGUACUACAAUGCCACGGACAAAGGGUAGCAAGACAGCGAUGUCAAGCCAAUCCCAUAAACCGUGGCUCAGUUCAGAUUGCAGGCUGCAACUCGCCUGCAUGAAGGCGGAAUCGCUAGUAAUCGCAGGUCAGCACUACUGCGGUGAAUACGUUCCCGGGCCUUGUACACACCGCCCGUCACACCAUGGAAGCUGGCUUAGCCCGAAGUCGUUACCCUAACCGUAAGGAGGGGGAUGCCGAAGGCAGGGCUGGUGACUGGGGUGAAGUCGUAACAAGGUAACCAAG